GUGUAAGUGCAGCAAUGCAUUAAGCUGACCAAUACUAAUAAAUCGAGGGCUUAACCACAAAAC
rnacentral:rRNA from 1 species